GAAGGGAAUGUGACUGCCCCACUCAAGCACAAGCAUGUGUACAAAUCCGGAUUUACGAGAAAGGGACAAAAAAGGAGAUGGUAAAUGGCAUGGAUGGAAAUGUUAAGGGCGACACUGGUGAGUCAGCCACAUGUACUGCCAACCCCUAGUCAGAGUGACCAGGCAACAGCCACAGCCUUGCUGUCUCCACCGCGGGAGCAAAGCACCUUGGAGUAGGAUGAGAAGCAUGGUUUCUCUGAAGCUUUGGAGGCUGUCCUGGAAUUCACUCAGUAGACCAGGCUCACCUCGAACUCAUAGAGAUCCCCCUGCCUCUGCCUCCCGAGUGCUGGGAUUAAAGGGGUGCAUCACCACUGCCUGGCUACACAACUGUUUUCUAUGAAGAUAGCAAAUGACAAUAUUUCAUUGCUACUAUUGGAAUGAAAACCCGAUUAUCAAACGGAUACAGAGACUAAACAUGUGGAGUGCUGAGAGACUCUCUCAGCUAAGACCAAAGACCUUGAAAAACAGAAAAAGGCUUGAGCAGAAGGUAGCUGUCUUGUCUCUGUGGCUGAUAGGGACUAGCUUGAAAAUAAUAUAGUUAAUCAUCCCCCAUGCUUCUGGUAAUAAACAAUUGGAAUAUUUAUCUUGAAAGCCAGGUCAAGAUGUUACUGAUAUUAGGACCUCCUACUUUUUUUUAAAGCCAGAAUU
rnacentral:lncRNA from 1 species